rnacentral:rRNA from 1 species
GAUGAACGCUGGCGGUCUGCUUAACACAUGCAAGUCGAACGGGUGUAGCAAUACAUUAGUGGCGGACGGGUGAGUAACGCGUGAGAAUCUACCUUCAGGACGGAGACAACAGUUGGAAACGACUGCUAACCCCCGAUGUACCGCAAGGGCAAAUAUUUAUAGCCUGAAGAAGAGCUCGCGUCCGAUUAGCUAGUUGGGGGGGUAAAGGCCCACCAAGGCGACGAUCGGUAGCUGGUCUGAGAGGACGAUCAGCCACACUGGGACUGAGACACGGCCCAGACUCCUACGGGAGGCAGCAGUGGGGAAUUUUCCGCAAUGGGCGCAAGCCUGACGGAGCAAGACCGCGUGGGGGAAGAAGGCUCUUGGGUUGUAAACUCCUUUUCUCUGGGAAGAACAAAAUGACGGUACCAGAGGAAUCAGCAUCGGUUAACUCCGUGCCAGCAGCCGCGGUAAGACGGAGGAUGCAAGCGUUAUCCGGAAUGAUUGGGCGUAAAGCGUCCGCAGGUGGCAGUUCAAGUCUGCUGUCAAAGACCGGGGCUUAACCUCGGAAAGGCAGUGGAAACUGAACAGCUAGAGUAUGGUAGGGGCAAAGGGAAUUCCUGGUGUAGCGGUGAAAUGCGUAGAGAUCGGGAAGAACAUCGGUGGCGAAGGCGCUUUGCUGGACCAUAACUGACACUCAGGGACGAAAGCUAGGGGAGCGAAUGGGAUUAGAUACCCCAGUAGUCCUAGCCGUAAACGAUGGAUACUAGGUGUUGUCUGUAUCGACCCGGA